ensembl:lncRNA
AUGGAGUGCCAUUACCUUCCCAACAACACCCAGAAAAUGGGAAUUCCAGACAGGAAACAAUCAGGGCCAGCUAAUACCUCCCAACAAAGGAUUCCCCCAGGUAGGAAGCAGCCAGGCUUUGAAGCUGCAAGGCUGUUCAAUGCUAAUCAAGGUGACCAAUUGCAACAUUCACACUUGCCUCCCACAGACAAGAGUUCUUUCUCCCACCCUGGACCUUCCACAGAUAUAAACCCCACUUGCCUAGCUUCGCACAGACGUCAAAACCUCACCGCCGGGCCCCUCUCUGUCUCUCUCGGUCUCUCCAUUCCCGGCUCCAUCCGCCGCCUUCCCGCCUCACAGAAAGACACCAGGCCUGAGCUGAGGCGAGGCGGCGGCGGCCAUUUCCCCCCUCCGUCUUCCUCCUCCUCCUCGGCCUCCUUCCCCCUCGCCCCCUCCCAUUGGCUGAGCCCGUGACGCCCCUUUUGCUGAGGGGCAAAAGGAAAGGGCCUGAAUGGUGGGAGUUUGGGUAAUUUGCAAAAGCUUUUUUUUCCUAACGAAAAAAACGACGACAUAACGAAAAACGGCCUCUCGCGAUUCGAAACCGCGAUAUCCAGACGUGUGGACAACCAAUGCCGUAUAUUGCUUCAAAACAAACGAAAAUAACGAAUUAAUAACGGUUAACGGGGAAAACGAAUUAUUUGAGCAAGCCUAGUAUAUAUAUAUGGUGUUGCAUUGUUUUAAAUUUUUAUAUAUUGUAUUUUACUAUGUUAUUUAACUAUUUUAACUGUUUUAUUCUUAUUUUAUUGUAUUAUGAUGUACUGGUAGUGAUUCUACCAGUUGUGUAAGCCGCCCUGAGUCCCCUUGGGGAGAAGAGCGGGGUAGAAAUAUUGGAAAUAAAUAAGUGAGACAGAGACUAGAAUGACAUUGGUGGGAAACCCAAAAUGAAUCUGAUUGAGCACGGUCUAGAGCGUAUUUGAAAGCCUACUUGGCAGCAAUAGAGGCAGCAGAGAAAUAGAAUCAUAGAAUCAUAGAGUUGGAAGAGACUUCAUGGGCCAUCCAGUCCAACCCCCUGCCAAGAAGCAGGAAAAUCACAUUCAAAGUACCCCUGACAGAUGGCCAUCCAGCAUCUGCUUAAAAGCUUCCAAAGAAGGAGGCUCCAGCACACUCCGGGGCAGAGAGUUCCACUGCCGAACAGCUCCCACAGUGAGGAAGUUCUUCCUAAUGUUCAGGUGGAAUCUCCUUUCCUGUAGUUUGAAGCCAUUGUUCCACAUCGUAGUCUACAGGGCAGCAGAAAACAAGCUUGCUCCCUCCUCCCUAUGACUUCCCCUCACGUAUUUGUACAUGGCUAUCAUGUCUCCUCUCAGCCUUCUCUUCUGCAGGCUAAACAUGCCCAGCCCUUUAAGCCGCUCCUCAUAGGGCUUGUUCUCCCAGACCCUUAAUCAUCUUAGUUGCCCUUCUCUCGACACAUUCCAGCUUGUCAUAUCUCCCUUUAAUUGUGGUGCCCAGAAUUGGACAUGGACACAGUAUUCCAGGUGUGGUCUGAACAAGGCAGAAUAGAGGGAUAGCAUUACUUCCCUGGAUCUAGAUGCUAUACUCCUAUUUAUGCAGGCCUACAUCCCAUUGGCUUUUUUCGCCGCCACAUCACAUUGUAGACUCAUGUUUAAAAUGUUGUCCAUGAGGACUCCAAGAUCCUUUUCACAGUACUGCUGUUGAGCCAGGUGACCCCCAUUCUGUAUCUUUGCAUUUCAUUUUUUCUGCCUAUGUGGAGUAUCUUGCAUUUGUCCCUGUUGAACUUCAUUUUGUUAGUUUUAGCCCAUCUCUCUAAUCUGUAAAGAUCGUUUUGGAUUCUGCUCAUGUCUUCUGGAGUAUUGGCUAUCCCUCCCAAUUUGGUUUCGUCUGCAAACUUGAUGAUCAUGCCUUCUAAUCCUUCAUCUAAGUCAUUAAUAAAGAUGUUGAACAGAACCAGGCCCAGGACAGAACCCUGCAGCAUUCCACUCAUGACUUCUUUCCAGGAGGAAGAAGAGGCAUUGGUGAGCACCCUUAUUGCACCCUUAUAGUUUAUUGCUGCCACAAUUGUAUCUGUAAGGAGCCAUCCAGCUAAGCUAUUUCGAGUGGUGAGAGGGCUAUUACAAACUAGUCCUCAAGGAGAAAAUUCUGACCAUUCAACAGCCCACUGUGAAGAAUUUGCAUGGCAAUUUGCAGAUAAAGUCACUCAGGUCCAUUCUGACAUGGAAGCUGUUAUUGAUACGGUUCUAAUGGAUGUAACUCUGGCUCCUGCUUGUCUAGUGUUAAUAGGAAUAUAUUUUCAUAACCUAAUAGAAAUAUAUAUAUUCAUAACCUGUUAAGAUUAUGAUCCCAAUAUGGUUAAAUAUUGGUGCAUAGCAGUAAAAACGCAGAAGACUAGGGGUUUAUGUGAGCAGAGGUAAAAAGGAAAUAAUAAGACAAAAUAUCCAGCCUCCCUUUCCCUUUAAAAAGUAAUGCGCAUAAAAUAAGCAUCAGAGACAUCAAAUAAAAUAGCAAAAAUAUGUUUACUCACAAUCUUGUAUGAUGAUGGUCAUACAGGCAAAAACAUCUUAGUUCCAAAAGAAAAAAACAGUUCAGGAAACUACAUUUCUCUUAACAAACAGGAACAUCAGCAUAGCAUGGUCAGGAGCGAAGAGAAAGAGACAGGAAGAGGCAUCUGUACAUCACUUCCUGUGUGUCCCCAGAAAGGAUACUCCCAUUUCCCAUUUCAUAUGCAAAACCCUUAAAUGGUGGCUUCAAUUCUGGAAUGCAGCUUGGCUCAGGUUACUAAGCAACAGACAUAACUAACUACAUAAACCAUCCCACAUUGAAAAUGCAUGCAUGAUUGCUUAGACAACCCAACAAGUGUUGAUGUAUGCCUUUCAAUUUGUGCAGCCUGAGGAUGUAGACAGCAUCCUUGGAGAGGUGAAAGCUACAACAUGCAUUCUAGAGCCAGAAUUCCAACUUGCCUAAUGGAGGCAGUUGUGAGACCCAUAUUAAAAAAAUCAUCCCUGAACCUCUCCAUAAUGAACAUCUAUCAGCCAGUGUCCAACCUUCCCUUUCUGAGGGAUUUCUCCAAAACUGCAGGGAUUUCUGGAUGAAAUUUAUUAUCUAGAUCCAUUUCAAUCUGGUUUUAGGCCUGGCUGUGGUUUCCUCCCUGCUCUCUCUUAAGAACAGAUAUAGCAAGUAGUCAAACAUGGUUCUGUCUAUGGUUAGCCAUCUGUUGGGGGUGUUUUGACUGUGCUUUUCCUGCAUGGCAGGGGGUUGGACUAGAUGGCCCAUGUGAUCUCUUCCAACUCUAUUAUUCUAAGUUGUGAACAGCUAUUGUUGUAUGUCUUCAAGACAUUUUUAACUUCUGACAACUCUUAUCAUGGAUUUUUUGCACAAUUUAUUCAGAGGGGUUUUGCCAUUGCAGCCUUCUGAGGGUGAGACAGUAUCAUUUGCCCAAAGUCACAUAAAGCAUUUUCAUGGGUGAUUGAGGACUAAAAUCCUGAUCUCCAAUGUCUUAGACCAACACUCAAAUCACUACCCCAAAAGGGGUCCUUGUGAAUAGCUGUGGACAAUGAAUUUGGCAUGAACAGAUGGAUGAACAUUUCAUUCUAGUUAUUUCUGAAAAAUUUGUCACAAUCCAUGAAUCACACUUUUGGAAUGGAAACAACCUGAAGGUUUUUUUUAAAAAAAAAAGAUGAAUGUGAGUGAAGGUGAUAAAUGACAGGUUUCUUCAAUAGCUAACCUACAUAGCUUAAGCUUCACUGAGAUGGCCUCACUCUUCACAUUGAAAAACAGGGAUAGGGGAGGCUUGCAAAACUCCUCAAGGCUUUCUUUAAAGUAGUAUUCUCAUAAAGAUGUCUGUUUUCCUCACAUACUAUAAUGAAAGCCUGAAAAACCAAAUUAAUUACACGCUGGGAAAGGCUCACCCAUGGGCAAC